CUGCAGUGAUGGUUUGAAUUUCUUCACCUGAAAACUCAUGUGGAGUAAAAACACAAGCUUCAAUCUGAGCAUA